rnacentral:rRNA from 1 species
GGUAUUUUGACCGUGCGAAGGUAGCGCAAUCACUUGUCUUUUAAAUGGAGACCUGUAUGAAUGGCAUAACGAGGGCUUAACUGUCUCCUUUUUCCGGUCAAUGAAAUUGAUCUCCCCGUGCAGAAGCGGGGAUACUAACAUAAGACGAGAAGACCCUAUGGAGCUUUAGACGACAAGUCGGGUCAUGUCAAACAAUCCUAAAUACAGGACCAAACAAAAUGAAAGCCAACUUAAUGUCUUUGGUUGGGGCGACCGCGGGGAAACAAAAAACCCCCCAUGUGGAAUGAAAGUAAGAUACUUUUACAAAUUUGAGCCACAGCUCUAAUUAACAGAAUGUCUGACCAGCAGAUCCGGCAAAGCCGAUCAACGGACCCAGUUACCCUAGGGAUAACAGCGCAAUCCCCUUUUAGAGCCCAUAUCGACAAGGGGGUUUACGACCUCGAUGUUGGAUCAGGACAUCCUAAUGGUGCAGCCGCUAUUAAGGGUUCGUUUGUU